rnacentral:rRNA from 1 species
UACUUGGAUAACUGUGGUAAUUCUAGAGCUAAUACAUGCAUGACGAGCGCAUUUAUUAGAACAAAACCAAUUUUGGUGAAUCUGAAUAACUUUCGGUCUCGUACCGGCGACGCAUCUUUCAAGUGUCUGUUUUAUCAACUUUCGAUGUUAGGUUAUGCGCCUAACAUGGUUGUAACGGAUAACGGAGAAUAAGGGUUCGACUCCRGAGAGGGAGCCUGAGAAACGGCUACCACUUCUAAGGAAGGCAGCAGGCGCGCAAAUUACCCACUCUCAGUGAGGAGGUAGUGACGAAAAAUAACGAGACGAUGCCCUUUGUCRUCGKAAUGAGAACAAUCUAAACCCUUUAACGAGGACCUAGCGGAGGGCAAGUCUGGUGCCAGCAGCCGCGGUAAUUCCAGCUCCGCCAGUGUAUAUCUAUGCUGCUGCGGUUAAAAAGCUCGUAGUUGGAUCUGCCUCGGAGCCGGUCCGUCUGUUCGGCGUGAGGCCGGUUUUCGCUGGAUGCACUUAACCGUGUGUUCAGUGUGGCUGGCAGGUUUACUUUGAAAAAUUAGAGUGCUCACACAAGCGACUCGCUUGAAUACUGGUGCAUGGAAUAAUAGAAUAGGAGGUUCUAUUUUGUUGGUUUUCGGAACACGAAGUAAUGAUUAAGAGGGACAGAMSGGGGCAUUCGUAUCGCGACGUUAGAAGUGAAAUUCUUGGA